CAUCUGCCGCAGCAGCAUUAUCAUAUAGCCAGAAACAGCAGCUGCAAGAAAAAUGGAGAGUCGCGAGUCGUAACAAUGGUCAGCACGCGCGCACGCACCGCUUAUUAUCAAGAAAUAACAACAAGGCGACCCGCUACUCGGCGCGAAGGUGUUUCAAUUGUCUCGCCCACUUAUGCUUAAACUACUUUAUUUUAUAUACAUUAUUGCCAUUCGUUCAAUAACGAAAUGGUGCAAUCUGUUAAACUAUGCACAAAACUGUCAUACUGUGUUGCCUUUACAAAUAAUAAUAAUAAGCAAAGUGCUGCUUAACUUGUCGCAGCCUAAAAAAAUAAAACAAAUUAUAACUAAA